rnacentral:rRNA from 1 species
GAUGAACGCUGGCGGCGUGCCUAAUACAUGCAAGUCGAGCGAACAGACGAGGAGCUUGCUCCUCUGACGUUAGCGGCGGACGGGUGAGUAACACGUGGAUAACCUACCUAUAAGACUGGGAUAACUUCGGGAAACCGGAGCUAAUACCGGAUAAUAUAUUGAACCGCAUGGUUCAAUAGUGAAAGACGGUUUUGCUGUCACUUAUAGAUGGAUCCGCGCCGCAUUAGCUAGUUGGUAAGGUAACGGCUUACCAAGGCAACGAUGCGUAGCCGACCUGAGAGGGUGAUCGGCCACACUGGAACUGAGACACGGUCCAGACUCCUACGGGAGGCAGCAGUAGGGAAUCUUCCGCAAUGGGCGAAAGCUUGACGGAGCAACGCCGCGUGAGUGAUGAAGGUCUUCGGAUCGUAAAACUCUGUUAUUAGGGAAGAACAAAUGUGUAAGUUACUAUGCACGUCUUGACGGUACCUAAUCAGAAAGCCACGGCUAACUACGUG